rnacentral:rRNA from 1 species
UGGGGGAUAUUGCACAAUGGGCGAAAGCCUGAUGCAGCGACGCCGCGUGGGGGAUGAAGGCCUUCGGGUUGUAAACUUCUUUUGCUCUGAACAAGGCAUGCUAAUGGGUGUGUUGAGUGUAGGGGUUGAUUAGCGCCGGCUAACUACGUGCCAGCAGCCGCGGUAAUACGUAGGGCGCGAGCGUUGUCCGGAAUUAUUGGGCGUAAAGGGCUUGUAGGUGGCUGGUUGCGUCUGUCGUGAAAGCUCAUGGCUUAACUGUGGGUUUGCGGUGGGUACGGGCUGGCUUGAGUGAAGUAGGGGAGGCUGGAAUUCCUGGUGUAGCGGUGGAAUGCGCAGAUAUCAGGAGGAAUACCGGUGGCGAAGGCGGGUCUCUGGGCUGUUACUGACACUGAGGAGCGAAAGCAUGGGGAGCGAACAGG